CAAUAGCGUAUAUUAAAGUUGUUGCAGUUAAAAAGCUCGUAGUUGGAUUUCUGGUGGGAGCGAUCGGUCUGGCGCUUAGCGCGAGUACUUGCAUCGUCUCCGGCCAUCCUUGGGGGAAGUCUGUCUGGCAUUAAGUUGUCGGGCAGAGGAUCCUCAUCGUUUACUGUGAAAAAAUUAGAGUGUUCAAAGCAGGCUUAUGCCGUUGAAUAUAUUAGCAUGGAAUAAUAAGAUAGGACUUUGGUACUAUUUUGUUGGUUUGCGCACCAAAGUAAUGAUUAAUAGGGACAGUUGGGGGUAUUCGUAUUCCGUUGUCAGAGGUGAAAUUCUUGGAUUUACGGAAGACGAACUACUGCGAAAGCAUUUACCAAGGAUGUUUUCAUUAA
rnacentral:rRNA from 1 species